rnacentral:rRNA from 1 species
UACGGAGGGGGCGAGCGUUAUUCGGAAUUAUUGGGCGUAAAGGGCGCGUAGGCGGCUUGAUAAGUCAGGGGUGAAAUCCCUCGGCUCAACCGAGGAAUUGCCUCUGAAACUGUCUGGCUAGAGGCCGGGAGAGGGUGGUGGAAUUCCCAGUGUAGCGGUGAAAUGCGUAGAUAUUGGGGGGAACACCAGUGGCGAAGGCGGCCACCUGGACCGGUUCUGACGCUGAGGCGCGAAAGCGUGGGUAGCAAACAGG